rnacentral:rRNA from 1 species
CGGUGUUUAACUGGCGUGAUGUGGGACGUCCUACCGGUGGGCUUAGCCUCGCGAGGGGCGGCCCAACUAAUAUCCCGUCGCGGUGCUCUUUACUGAGUGUCGAGUCGGGCCGGUACGUUUACUUUGAACAAAUCAGAGUGCUUAAAGCAGGCUAUCCUCGCCUGAAUACUGCGUGCAUGGAAUAAUGGAAUAGGACCUCGGUUCUAUUUUGUUGGUUUUCGGAACCCCGAGGUAAUGAUUAAUAGGGACAGAUGGGGGCAUUCGUAUUGCGACGUUAGAGGUGAAAUUCUUGGAUCGUCGCAAGACGGACAGAAGCGAAAGCAUUUGCCAAAAAUGUUUUCAUUAAUCAAGAACGAAAGUUAGAGGUUCGAAGGCGAUCAGAUACCGCCCUAGUUCUAACCAUAAACGAUGCCAGCUAGCGAUCCGCCGAAGUUCCUCCGAUGACUCGGCGGGCAGCUUCCGGGAAACCAAAGCUUUUGGGUUCCGGGGGAAGUAUGGUUGCAAAGCUGAAACUUAAAGGAAUUGACGGAAGGGCACCACCAGGAGUGGAGCCUGCGGCUUAAUUUGACUCAACACGGGAAACCUCACCAGGCCCAGACACCGGAAGGAUUGACAGAUUGAUAGCUCUUUCUUGAUUCGGUGGGUGGUGGUGCAUGGGCCGUUCUUAGUUGGUGGAGCGAUUUGUCUGGUUAAUUCCGAUAACGAACGAGACUCUAGCCUGCUAAAUAGGCGUACCUUAUGGUAUCGCGAAGGCCCCCGGCUUCGGCCGGUGGGUUUUUACUACCAACGUACAAACAAAUCUUCUUAGAGGGCACAGGCGG